GACGAACGCUGGCGGCGUGCUUAACACAUGCAAGUCGAACGAUGAAGCCUAGCUUGCUAGGUGGAUUAGUGGCGAACGGGUGAGUAAUACGUGAGUAACCUACCUUUAACUCUGGGAUAAGCCUGGGAAACUGGGUCUAAUACCGGAUACGACCAAUCUCCGCAUGGGGUGUUGGUGGAAAGCGUUAUGUAGUGGUUAUAGAUGGGCUCACGGCCUAUCAGCUUGUUGGUGAGGUAACGGCUCACCAAGGCGACGACGGGUAGCCGGCCUGAGAGGGUGACCGGCCACACUGGGACUGAGACACGGCCCAGACUCCUACGGGAGGCAGCAGUGGGGAAUAUUGCACAAUGGGCGCAAGCCUGAUGCAGCGACGCCGCGUGAGGGAUGACGGCCUUCGGGUUGUAAACCUCUGUUAGCAGGGAAGAAGAGAGAUUGACGGUACCUGCAGAGAAAGCGCCGGCUAACUACGUGCCAGCAGCCGCGGUAAUACGUAAGGCGCGAGCGUUGUCCGGAAUUAUUGGGCGUAAAGAACUUGUAGGCGGUUUGUCGCGUCUGCUGUGAAGGCCGGAGCUUAUCUCCGUGUAUUGCAGUGGGUACGGGCAGACUAGAGUGCAGUAGGGGAGACUGGAAUUCCUGGUGUAGCGGUGGAAUGCGCAGAUAUCAGGAGGAACACCGAUGGCGAAGGCAGGUCUCUGGGCUGUAACUGACGCUGAGAAGCGAAAGCAUGGGGAGCGAACAGGAUUAGAUACCCUGGUAGUCCAUGCCGUAAACGUUGGGCACUAGGUGUGGGGAACAUUCCACGUUUUCCGCGCCGUAGCUAACGCAUUAAGUGCCCCGCCUGGGGAGUACGGCCGCAAGGCUAAAACUCAAAGAAAUUGACGGGGGCCCGCACAAGCGGCGGAGCAUGCGGAUUAAUUCGAUGCAACGCGAAGAACCUUACCAAGGCUUGACAUAUACUGGACCGCAUCAGAGAUGGUGUUUCCCUUCGGGGCUGGUAUACAGGUGGUGCAUGGUUGUCGUCAGCUCGUGUCGUGAGAUGUUGGGUUAAGUCCCGCAACGAGCGCAACCCUCGUUCUAUGUUGCCAGCACGUUAUGGUAGGGACUCAUAGGAGACUGCCGGGGUCAACUCGGAGGAAGGUGGGGAUGACGUCAAAUCAUCAUGCCCCUUAUGUCUUGGGCUUCACGCAUGCUACAAUGGCCGGUACAGAGGGUUGCGAUACUGUGAGGUGGAGCUAAUCCCUAAAAGCCGGUCUCAGUUCGGAUUGGGGUCUGCAACUCGACCCCAUGAAGUCGGAGUCGCUAGUAAUCGCAGAUCAGCAACGCUGCGGUGAAUACGUUCCCGGGCCU
rnacentral:rRNA from 1 species